rnacentral:rRNA from 1 species
AUACGUAGGUGACAAGCGUUAUCCGGAUUUACUGGGCGUAAAGGGCGUGUAGGCGGUCUUGCAAGUCAGAAGUGAAAUUCCUGAGCUCAACUCGGGCGCUGCUUCUGAAACUGCAGGACUUGAGUGCUGGAGGGGAUAGCGGAAUUCCUAGUGGAGCGGUAAAAUGCGCAGAUAUUAGGAAGAACACCGGUGGCGAAGGCGGCUAUCUGGACAGUAACUGACGCUGAGGCGCGAAAGCGUGGGAAGCAAACAGUAUUAGAUACCCGGGUAGUCCACGCCGUAAACGAUGAAUACUAGGUGUAGGGGGUAUCGACUCCCUCUGUGCCGCAGUUAACACAAUAAGUAUUCCGCCUGGGGAGUACGGCCGCAAGGUUGAAACUCAAAGGAAUUGACGGGG